UUUUGACCUCAAAUCAGGUAGGACUACCCGCUGAACUUAAGCAUAUC
rnacentral:rRNA from 1 species